rnacentral:tRNA from 2 species
UCCCCGCUAGCUCAAUCGGCAGAGCAUUCGGCUGUUAACCGAAGGGUUGAUGGUUCGAGUCCAUCGCGGGGAG